AUGAUAGCGAUAGGGAUAGGGGUUAGGCAACUCUUCCUCAAUAGGUUUCUAUCCUUCUCUCCUUCCUUCUUCCUGCCCCCUUACAGGUCUGUUAGAGUGCUGUGCCCGCUGCCUGGUGGGGGCGCCCUUCGCCUCGCUGGUGGCCACGGCCCUGUGCUUCCUGGGGGUGGCGCUCUUCUGCGGCUGUGGCCACGAAGCCCUGACCGGCACCGAGCACCUGAUCGAGACCUACUUCUCCAAAAACUACCAGGAUUACGAGUACCUGGUCGAUGUGAUCCACGAUUUCCAGUACGCCAUCUAUGGGGUGGCCGGCUUCUUCUUCCUCUUUGGUGCCCUCCUGCUGGCUGAAGGCUUCUACACCACUGGCGCUGUCCGGCAGGUCUUCGGCGACUACCGGGCCACUGUCUGCGGCAAGGGCCUGGGCGCCACGGUAGGCCACAAGGGGAGGGGGCCCCGAGGACACCGGCCCGGCCGCUCCUGGGAGCUGGUGUGUCACUGUGUGGGAAAAUGGCUGGGCCAUCCUGAUAAGGUGAUCUUCUCCUCUUUCGCACCCAGCGCUGCUGCCGUUCGAACCCGGGGCAUGAGACUGCUGACGGUGGGGGGCGUUAAGGAGCGUAUGACCAGGAUAUAUUGAAUAAGUCUUGUCCUUCCUUCCUCUGGUUGUCCAUAUUAAGAGGAGGCAGCAAGGCUGAUCCUUUCUGUAAAGAAAGGAUUUUAUCCUUCCAAAAUGGAAACCUUCCUCUGCUUGAUUUUAGGUGCAGUAAUUGGGAAUGGCUUUACUUACUAGUUCCAAGGUCCUUGGCCAAAAAGGAGGAAAUUCCACGUCUAAGGAAUCCAGCAGGACACUUUUAACCCCUUCCUGCCUUUGGGCCUCCAUCCCGGAAGGACACUCCUGGCACCAAGGGACUCGCACUUGUGACACAUAGUGCCAUCAGAAAACCACCUGCUGUGCCUAUGGAGGGCCCCCCCCCCAAUCCCGGGCCGUCCGAAUAUUCCUGCUUUCCCAGUCCCAGAUUUGACUUAUGAGGGGUUGAAGAAGAGGUCGCUAUUUUCUAUGGGACAGAAUAGGCGGUCUGUAUUUUAAUCAGAUUAAUACUUGUGGGAUGGAAUAGAUGGAUGGAUUUGUGGGAAUUUGUGGGAUGGAAUAGAAGAUCCCUAUUUCAUUAGAUGAAAUAUUUGGGUGAUGGAAUAUGAGAUCCCUGUUUUAAUCAGAUAAAUAUUUGUGGGAUGAAAGAGGUUUCUGUUUUCAUUUUAGUGGAUAGAAUAGGAGGUCUCUAUUUCCAUUUUAGGAGAUGGAAUAGGAGGUCUCCAUCUUCACCUGAGAAUUACCCAAAUAUAAGCCGCCCCUGAAAAUAGGAUUUUAAUGGAUCAUCUGCCCACCCCUCGUGGGAAUAUCUGGAGGAAAGGUCCAAGUGGCUGGGAGUUCCUCAGG
rnacentral:lncRNA from 1 species